GCACAAUUAUUUUGUUUUUCAGGUGGCAAAUGGAGGACUACAGAGACACUUGACAAGGCAGUUUUCAUAAUUAAAGUACAAGAAUAAGAAAGAAUCCUUGUGACAGCAUUGCCGAUAGGUGUGGACAAAGCUGUCUGCACUAAGAUGAAGGAAAAAUAUUCUGAUGUUUUCAUUCCAGAAAGCAAAAUGUCAGCAGCCAGCCUGGGUGGGCCAUACCAGGUGCCAGACAGGGGCCAGAGGGAUCCCAGCAAAGGCCCUGCCUUGAAAAUGGAGCCUGGAGGAUGGACAAGGCCGUAAGGAAAGUGACAGUGUUGUCUGCAGCAGCCUUAAGGCUUUUAGCAAUGGCAAAUCCUUUUUUUUUUUUCAGAUGAUAUGCACUUAGUAGCAGUAUAGCCAACUAGCUCAGAUUUGAUAGCUUACAGAGCUAAGAGUUUGUUAACAUUUCAUUGAUAAAGGAUAAGAAGGGAAAAUUGUGUUCCCAGAAAUUAAGUAAAUGGGAGGCUAGGACCUUGAAGAAAGGUAAACAGGGGAGAAAAGAAUGAGAGGGAGAAGUGUGGCCUUCUCUGCGAAGAUAUAAGGCCAUUGCUGCUUCUGUACCUGACUCAAAUACCCAGCUCAACCAUUGGCAAAAGAAGUGGAAAGCUUCACCAAGGACUUCAGGGAACGAGAUAACUGGUGCUGGGGAGCCAUAGAGAGCUGGGAAUCAGAUUCUCUGUACUGGAAGAUGAAGGGGAAGAUGCUUCAAAACUAGACCCUCCUUGCAUAUGCGAAAGGACAUAUGCCACGCUGGCUGGCUGAUGCUGCAGAGAGAAGGGAAUGAAGUCACCACAGGCAUAUUUUGUCAAAACUUCUGAAGAAUGCUGACCCAGGAUAAGCUGAAGAAGAAAAACCGACGUAAGGCAUUGAACUAAUUGUGCAAUGCUUUAUAUGGAAAACUGACUUCCUGAUGCCAGCGUUAGUAGGUGGUUCUUUCAAGCAUGGUGUUUAGCGAUCUACAUUUGGUUCUUCCAGAUAUAAAUAUUUUGCAUAUAAAUAUAACUUGUUUUAUCCACGUAUAUUAACUAUUGUAUUCAAUGCCACUUCUCUCUUUUUACCUAAUAUUUUUCAACACAGAUGAUGCUCAUAUAUACUUUUAGAUUUCUUAUUGCUUAAAAUGUCAUCCACCAGCUCAUAGGUAUUUACUUUGUGAACUCUUGUUCUAGAGAACCUAGCUGGAAAGUUGUGCAAUGAGCUUCUAACAUAGGGAGCUUAGUGAGCUGACUGAAAUGCAAGCCGUAAACAGACGGAUGUGUAAAAAUAGCUUUAAGUCCAUAAGUUUGGGAACAUUUUUGCAGCUUCAAGAAUCUUAGAUUUGAUAAGCAACAUAAACUAUCCAUUGCAUAUUUGAUUAUUUCUGAAUAGGUAAAGCUAAAAUCAAGUUUACCUCAGAGUGUUCUGUCAUAACUCUAGGAAAAUGGCAUUUGAUGCAAACUUGUGUUAACAAAAACAAACCACAAAAUCCAUUUUUCUAGAGUAGGGUGAAUGACCGCUCUUACAUCAAAAGUACAUAUAUAUAUUGGAGCCAAAGAUGUUUCCCAUGAUGGAAACAUCCUGGAGCCUUGCAGGCAGGUAGACCCUGCCCUCCUUCUGAAGGAACUCAGAGGAGGUUUGGAAAAGAUGCAAAGAUCUUUGGGCACAAACAUCCCUGUGGGUUCAACACACUUGAUUUUCCAGAGGAGUGAAUUUUGUAACUCCAGAGGCUAGUGGGGGACUUCAGAGGGAUUUUAUCAUGCCCCCUGUUUGUACUCCUAUUUAAGACCACCUAUUAUUUCAGUUAGCUUGCAAACUAAUAAUGCUGCUAAGUUAAGCAUCAAUCUAAUUCCAUCAUCUUUAUAACUUUAUUUUUCUGGAGGCAAGAAAAGAGAUAAAUACAGUGAAUGAAGUGUAUGGAUGUCCUACAGAAUGGAUCUGUAUCUGUUACAAGACAUUAACCAUGACAAUCUACAGAUUAUCCAAUUCUUGUUAUUUUAGGUCAACAACAAAAUGUGACUUUGCCAAAUGCAGAUUCAGUUCCUGGGGUGUUCAAUACAGUGACACAUAUCACGGCAUUUCAGAAUUUGCUGUGUACAGAAGCACCGCAAAAAGUUUUUUCACUUAGGUAGAGAAUAACAGAAAAAACCCAAAUGGGAAGUUUUUCUAUACUGUCUUGGAUGACAAGGUUAAGCAGAGAAUCUGUUAACACACACACACACAAAAAAAAAAAAAAACAGUGACAAUUUAAAUAAAUCAGAUGUUUUUGCUGAAGAUUAUGCUGUCAUUUUCUCCAAUUAUUCUUGACAUUUCACCCAAUCGUAUUGUGAUCUGAGUUAAUAAUGGAAGAAAAAGAACGGCUCUCGUUGCCUUGUUUAUUCUUUGUUCUCAAGGAGAUAAGCUGUUUAUAAGGAUAUUUGUUAUUUAAAUCACUUUUACUGAAGUUGUUUGUUUCCUUGUUUGAGAUUCUAAAAAUAUUGCAACAAUUGUGAUGCAUCUUUGAAACGCCUAUUCACUUCACUAUGAUUUGUACUGAAAUUCAUUCCUAAAUGGGCACAGGUGUUGAUAGCUAGAAUGAG
ensembl:lncRNA